UACGAAGGGGGCUAGCGUUGUUCGGAUUUACUGGGCGUAAAGCGCACGUAGGCGGAUCGUUAAGUCGGGGGUGAAAUCCUGGAGCUCAACUCCAGAACUGCCUUCGAUACUGGCGAUCUUGAGUCCGGAAGAGGUGAGUGGAACUCCUAGUGUAGAGGUGGAAUUCGUAGAUAUUAGGAAGAACACCAGUGGCGAAGGCGGCUCACUGGUCCGGUACUGACGCCGAGGUGCGAAAGCGUGGGGAGCAAACAGG
rnacentral:rRNA from 1 species